AAUGAACGCUGGCGGCAGGCCUAACACAUGCAAGUCGAACGGGUCCUUCGGGACGUAGUGGCGGACGGGUGGAGUAACGCGUGGGAACGUGCCCCUUCGGUACGGGAUAGCCCCGGGAAACCUGGGAGUAAUACCGUAUGUGGUCGAGAGACGAAAGAUUUAUCGCCAAGGGAUCGGCCCGCGUUGGAUUAGGUAGUUGGUGGGGUAAUGGCCUACCAAGCCGACGAUCCAUAGCUGGUUUGAGAGGAUGAUCAGCCACACUGGGACUGAGACACGGCCCAGACUCCUACGGGAGGCAGCAGUGGGGAAUCUUAGACAAUGGGGGAAACCCUGAUCUAGCCAUGCCGCGUGAUCGAUGAAGGCCUUAGGGUUGUAAAGAUCUUUCAGGUGGGAAGAUAAUGACUGUACCACCAGAAGAAGCCCCGGCUAACUCCGUG
rnacentral:rRNA from 1 species